AACUGAUCUCAGUUCGGAUUGCAGGCUGCAACCCGCCUGCAUGAAGUCGGAAUCGCUAGUAAUCGCGGGUCAGCAUACCGCGGUGAAUACCGUUCCCGGGCCUUGUACACACCGCCCGUCACACCACGAAAGUUGGUAACACCCGAAGCCGGUGGCCUAACCCUUAGGGGAGGGAGCUGUCGAAGGUGGGACUGAUGAUUGGGGUGAAGUCGUAACAAGGUACC
rnacentral:rRNA from 1 species